GACCGCCCAGCCAGCUGGUUCUGCUGCGAGAGCACUCCGCUGGAGUUCAGUUGGCCGCUCCUCCACCGAGCCCACCCUCGGUGUCUUGGGGCCUGGAGCAGGAGGAGCUAAGGAAAAGAUGAAUUAGAUUGGGCGGAGCCACACUGUCCAUCAGCCGGAUGAUCACGCCCCUUUCGCCCAUUGGCGAUUAGUAACCAGCAGGAGUCCUAGAAGGAGGAAGCUUGAUGCUCAAAAGGACCCGAAUCCAACUGUCAAGCCCAUACAUUCAGCAGCUGUGGGGUCCGUAAGAAGAUGGUGAAUCAUCUGAACCCAAGCAUCGGUGUGAACAUGAGUGGGUGAAGACCUGAGGAACCAAAAUCAGUGCCCCCUCACCCUGAGAACGAAUGUCCAGCUCCCAAAUCUUCUCUGCAAACACUGUGGGUUCGGAGACAACUGAGGAAUGUGUGUGGCAGUUAACAGCGCCAGGUUUCUUUAAAGGAGAAAGCUGUGCGCCUGAUAAGGAAAUGGACCGCAGAGGAAGGAAGUCAAUGGAGCCACAGCCCAGAGAAGGCUCGUCAACCACAUCCAGCAUCUGAUGCAGAUUUCAGGGACCUGAGCUGCACUUCAAGGACCAGUCCAUCAACUCAUCCUUAAUAAUGGGGAUGGGUUGAGAAGACUGCAGUUUGUUUCUACCCAAGCCCAGUCUCCAAGUCCUAAGAGGCCAACAGCCUGGCUACCCUAAAAGCUCCGAGCAGUUGGCCCUAGAUAUUCCACAGAUAUUCCAGCUCUUUCUCCCCGUUCCCAGCCAUCCAUUCAAAGGAAGUGAGAAGCUAGGGUCUCUCCCUUCACUAUCGCUUUUGGGAAUUAAUUCCCUUGGACUGUUUGGGAAUUAAUUGCCUUGGGCUGUUUAGGCCAUCGAGAAGCUUUGGGUCAUCCCAAAGCCUGUUAGUGACUCUUGGCAGCUUCAGACAUCUUCCCGAGAGGGGAGCACUUUGGGAGCCUCUGAGCCGGCCUGUGUUCUGCGUUUACAAGUGGUCUCUUUGUGCAGAGAGGUCCGCACCCAUUUUCUAGGAGCUAUUUGAAGAAACAUUGAUGUGUAAAGGAACAGGAAGGCAGAUCCUUGCUCAGGAGGGCAGGGAGAACCCAGAGGGACUCAAAGGUACUAAUUAAGGACCAACAGCCAUAGCCCUCAGAGAAAGUUAAGACCUGGAGAAGACUUGGGCUUUUGUGUUUAAUUAGGAAGAUUGGAAUAACAGGGGCCAGAGGGAGAUUUUAGGAAGACAGAUUUCAAAGUGAUAUUUAACGUUCAGUCAGUUUAUUGAACAGUUAUCAUGAGCCUGGCACAGAUAUGCAACUAUAAACCAGUAGUUAAGACCAUUUAGAACUCCAGCUACAGACAAAGGAGUUUAUGUCAGGGGAGCGGGAGUGGGGUGGGGGAGUGCUGGCUUUACAGGAUAAGCACAGGACACCACAGAAAAGAGGUGUAGAUUGGGUGCUGGCAACUCCCAAUGAGGUCCCUGGAAGCCUCCUUAGGAAGGAGGCAGUGUGCAGAAACCCAGAUGAGGCUGGGAAAUCAGAGAAUGUAGUCAGGAAAGAGACAAUGGGCUGUGCAACAUGGCGCUCAGACCCAAAGCACACUGGAGUCACCUGGCAGCUCCCAAAAGGAAGACCGCUCAACCCUAGAGAUUCUGCUCGGAGGCAGGGUCUGUGCACAGGUGCAUUUCCAAAGCUGACCGUUCAUUGGGGUCGGAGAAGGGGAGAACAAUGGGAUUGUGACUGAGAAGAUGGCUCCAGAAAGUGCUUGUCUUGCAAGAAUGAAGACCUGAGUACAAAUCCCCAAGGCAAGUGCCCAGGAUGGCAGCAAUGAGGAAUGGAGACGGGAGAAUUCCUGGGAGUUGAUGGCCAGUCAGUCUCACCAACCGGCGAGCUCUAGGUUCAGUGAGGAGAAUCUAUUGAAAAUAAUUCAAGGGGAGGCAAUGUUGAUAUCUGGCUUACCCAUGCAUACACACAUGAACACACACGCAAGCAUGCACGCGCGCGCGCACACACACACACACACACACACACAAUCAUGCACACAACAUAAAAACCAAAAGACAGGUAUUGAUCAUAAUAAACUACACGUUGUAAGGUGGAGGUGUGGUUCAGAAGGUGAUAGCAGUCAGCAGUGUGCCCUCUGAAUUAAGGAUCUGUAGCUCAGAGGAGGGACACAGGAAACCACGGCAGACAGGUUUCAAGGCCUCAAGCAGAGGCCUAUGCUGGCCCAUGACUUUGUAAAACAAUGCUUAGAGAAGAAUUUUUGGGUUUGUAUUUCCUCUUCCUUUCUCCCCUCAGUGCUGCUGGAGGAGUAAGGGUUCCUUUCUCCUUACAAAUGUCCCCUCAGGGCCAUCAGGGCUAAUGAGACUUUCAGAGUCUCUUGGCCCAGCUCCUUGUCAAAGGAAGUACCCUCGCGCUGGUCUGUAGGGUGAUGCUGCAAGCCAGUGCCAGCCCUGCCUGUGUCUCCGGAAGCUCAGGUCCUCUGCACCCGCCUCAGGUGGGGAGCUCUCGUCUGGAUGCCUGCUCCUUCUCGCCUAUUGGCCCCACUCCCCUGCACCAGCUCAAGCACUAGUCUGGUCAAUUUCAGUGGGGGCCUCUUUCCCAGCACAGACAGAAGUGACAUAGGCCCUCCACUGUGUCCAGUUCCCGCAGUAGAAGUGAGAUGCUUCUCUUUGUCUUUGUCCCCCACACCGCCACCCCUCUAAGGCGAAGGUUGACAGCCUUUUCCUGCUCACCAGCCACCGGCUGGGAGGAAAC